UAAUUAUAAGUCUUUUGAAACAUUUAUUUAUCUUAUUAUGCUACCAAUUAAACUUUAGUGGCUUAAAAUACAUGAAUUAAUUAACAUAGGAAGAGAUGUUCUUUCAUUUUCCCUCAACAAUGCCACUAAGGCCUAAUUUUAAUGUCAUAAUCUCAUAUUUAAUUAUGCAACCUUUUGUUGAGUGUCUUUUGGCUUCUUCAAAAUUUAUUAUGCUAUCAAUUAAACUUUAGUGCCUUAAAAUACAUCACCUAAUUAACAUAGGAAGAGAGGUUCUUUCAUCUUCUCUCAACCUCAUCUUUUUAUAUUCUCUAUUAUUUAAAAUAUCUAAAAUAUUGGUGGAUAUUCUUUGUACAUAUAUCAUAAUAUGACACUCAAAAAAAUAAA
rnacentral:lncRNA from 1 species